rnacentral:rRNA from 1 species
CAGCGGCGGACGGGUGAGUAACGCGUGGGUAACCUGCCCUCGAGUCGGGGAUAACUUCGGGAAACCGGAGCUAAUACCGGAUGAUGAUCGAGACCUCGAGGGGUUUCGGUCCAAAGCUGGCCUAUCCAUGGAAGCUGGCGCUUGAGGAGGGGCCCACGGCCUAUUAGCUUGUUGGUGAGGUAACGGCUCACCAAGGCUUCGAUGGGUAGCCGGCCUGAGAGGGUGGCCGGCCACACUGGGACUGAGACACGGCCCAGACUCCUACGGGAGGCAGCAGUGGGGAAUUUUGCGCAAUGGGGGAAACCCUGACGCAGCGACGCCGCGUGGAGGAUGAAGGCCUUCGGGUCGUAAACUCCUGUCAGGUGGGAAGAAAACACAGUGGUUAAUACCCACCGUGCUUGACUGUACCACCAGAGGAAGCCCCGGCUAACUCCGUGCCAGCAGCCGCGGUAAUACGGAGGGGGCAAGCGUUGCUCGGAAUUAUUGGGCGUAAAGGGCUAGUAGGCGGCUGAACAAGUUCGGUGUGAAAUCCCCCGGCUCAACCGGGGAACUGCAUCGGAAACUGUCCAGCUAGAGUCCGGGAGAGGUGAGCGGAAUUCCCAGUGUAGCGGUGAAAUGCGUAGAUAUUGGGAGGAACACCAGCGGCGAAGGCGGCUCACUGGACCGGUACUGACGCUCAGAAGCGAAAGCCAGGGGAGCAAAAGGGAUUAGAUACCCCAGUAGUCCUGGCUGUAAACGAUCGGCACUUGGUGC